AAGGGAACACUUGCGAUUUUUCAAUUAGCAAACCAACCAAGUUGAAAUCAAAUUACUUAGUUUUCAAAUAGAUACGUGUUGAAAAGCAGCAACUUUUUUUAUUUGAUUUGAUUCGAUUCAAUUCAUGGCUAUAACAAAGAAUUCUGAUACUUCGGCUCUUUGCUAUGGUCCACCUCCACCUCCAGGGCCUCCGGGACCUCCGCCUCCCGAUGAUUGUUGCGGGUGCGGCCCCGGAGGAUGUUGUGGAAGUUGUGGACCUGGUUGUUGCGAUUGUGGGCCUGGAAGGCCAUGCGUUUGUGUCUGCACCAUAUUAUAAUUAGGCGAUUCUGGAUAUUCCGUAAAUUGUUCAUCGAAGGAAGCGAUCGUUACAAGUGAAUAAAUUUUUAAAUUGUAAUUAAAAAUUACAAACAUUUCAAACAUUUUCUGAGCUGGUAGUAAUAUCGAAGGUGACUGAGAAAUAGUGAUUUAUAAGCGACUAACUAGGAGAUAAUACUAUAGUAUGUAGCUACAAAUAAAUAGAGCUGAUGCCAAUGAAAUUA
rnacentral:lncRNA from 1 species